rnacentral:lncRNA from 1 species
CCAGGUUCGGCAGCCGAAGGUACUUUCGGCCGCCGAACCAGCUUGGGAGGCAGCUUUAGGCUGCCGAAGCCUGCCCCCGAAAGUGGGAGUUUCGGCUCUGUCCGAGACUUUCGGCCGUCGAAGGUGCCGCCGAACAUGCAUGAGUUUCGUCUCUGUCUGGGGGUUUCGGCCGCCGAAGGUGCCGCCGAACCUGCCUGAGUUUCGACUCUGGAGGGACUUCCGGCCGCCGAAGGUGCCGCCGAAAGUGCCCUUCCCAGCCUUUUCUUGCAUGUUUUCUAGGGAUGUUUUGAGGUGUUUUUAGGAGGUUUUUGGGGGUAUGUUUAGAGUUAUGUUCUUGUUGUUUGGUGCCUCAUUUGAGUCCACCUGUGUAGGUUCGGACCCGAGGAACCGAGACCCCCGGUUGUGAGAUAGUCGUUCAGAGUCCGUUGUUAAAGCUUCAGUCACCAGGUGAGUGGGAUAACUCCCUAAGUUUCUAAGUAAAGUAAUUGAAUAAAUGAAUGAAUCUGAAAGCAUACUCAUGCAUCAUUAAUGCCAUGAAAUAUUCCAGGAUGUUUGCAUUAGAAAUUCACGAAUAUGUUGCAUUGCAUAAUUUGAUGUUGAUGUGGAUGGUUGUUGGGUGAUCCAUAGUCCUCUGAUGUUAUGUUAUGAUGAUACGUUAUGGAAGACCAGCGAGGCCCAUUCUACGCCCCUGACACUACGUAAGAGAAAGACCAGCGAGGCCCAUUCUACGCCCCUGGCACUUUAGAAUGUUAUGUUAUGUUAUGUAAGAGAAAGACCAGUGAGGCCCAUUCUACGCCCCUGGCAUUUGGAGAUGUUGAGGACUAAUGGUGACAAUACCAUCCUUUAUGUGAUUAGCUGUGAUGUGUUGCAUUUCAUGAAAGCAUGAAUAAGAAAAAGAAAAAGUUAAAUAAUUUGAUGAUAAGAAAUAAAAUAAAAUGAAUAAUAAUAAUAAUAAUAAAUAUGAUAAAAAUAAAAUAAAAUAAAUAAUAAUAAACAUAAAAAUGGUGAAACUAAAUCACAUGUUUUUAUCUUUCUGCUCACUGGGCUUUAUAGCUCACCCCUCUCCCCUAACCCCAGUCUUGCAGGUGCAGUGUAGAUAGAGAAGUCAGCAAGAGUAAGAGAAGUUUAUGUAAUAGCUUAGCUGUGGACAUGGUUUAUUUGUAAUGUAAA